UACAUGCUAGAGUCUAGGAUUCCCUUAUGUUUCUCCUAUUGAAAUUCAUUUAUCAUAGAAAAUUCGUCAGGGGUUCCACUGAACCCUGUGUCUCGCCUACAAUUGCUGCUGUCAGUGUAAAAUUGUAAUGUUGACUUAAAAAGUGAGUCCAUUUAUCAGUAAAAUACAGGUCCAAGUUUCAUAACAAUCCAUGAAGGUUUACAAACUUAUCAUGUCAAAAAAUUUAAACCCAGACUGUCUGUAAAUGUUAACUGUAAAAAAAAGUCCAUCUAUCAGAAAAAUACAGAAAAUGAAAAUAUAUUUUCAAAAGUUUGCUUCAGACAUUAUCUCUUAUUCAUAAAAAAAAGCUUCUGCCAAAAGUUUCAUAAAAUUCUAUGAAGGUUUGACAAAGAAUUUGAUGUGUAACAAACCUUAACCCAAGACUCUAUCUACUUGUUAACUGUAAUAAAAUGCUCCGCUGGGGCGCAGCUUGAUACGACCGCAGAGGUCGAACCCUGAACAGUUGGGGCAAGUAUGGACACAACAUUCAAGCUUGAUACAGCUCUGAAUUUGGAUUGUGAUUAAAUAUUUGACACAGCAUAGGUUUCUGACACAGAAUGAAUGUGGUCUAAGAACUUAAAAAUUUUAAAUUGGACAUUCACCUAUUAUGGUCCAAUAUCCAAAAUCUAAAUACAUGGUUAGAUUCAGCAUAUCAAUGAACCCCAAGAAUUCAAUUUUUGAUGAAAUCAAACAAAGUUUAAUUUUAGACCCUUUUGACCUCAAUGUGGACAAAGUUGAUAACGGGGCCCAAAAAUCAAAAAUCUAAAUACAUGGUUAGAUUCAGCAUAUCAAAGAACCCCAUAUAUUCAAUUUUUGUUGAAAUCAAACAAAGUUUAAUUUUGGACCCCGAUUUGGACCAACUUGAAAACUGGGCCCAUAAUCAAAAAUCUAAAUACAUGUUUAGAUUCAGCAUAUCAAAGAACCCUAAAAAUUCAAUUUUUGUUAAAAUCAAACUAAGUUUAAUUUUGGACCCUUUGGACCUUAAUGUAGACCAAUUUGAAAACAGAACCAAAAAUUAAGAAUCUAAAUACACGGUUAGAUUCGGCAUAUCAAAGAACCCCAAUAAUUCAAUUUUUGAUGAAAUCAAACAAAGUUAAAUUUUGGACCCUUUGGACCUCAAUGUGGACCAAUUUAAAAACGGGGCCCAAAAUCCAAAAACUGAAUACACGGUUAGAUUCAGCAUAUUAAAGAACCCCAAGAAUUCAAGAAUAAAACCCCAUUGAAAUUGAUCAAGAAAUAAGCAAUUUAUAGGAAGUAUCUUCUUUUGCACAAUACUGUGCAAUUGAAUAUUUCUUGCUAUUGCGCAAUACUGUACAAUUGACAAUUUCUUGCUAUUGCGCAAUAUUGUGCUAUUGGAUAUUUCUUGCUGUUGCGCAAUACUGUGCAAUUGAAGAUUUCUUGCUAUUGCGCAAUACUGUGCAAUUGAAGAUUUCUUGUUAUUGUGCAAUACUGUGCAAUUGAAAAUUUCUUGCUAUUGCACAAUACUUAUUAUUUAAUAAUUUACACAUCCUGUUUGGUGUGUAUCUCCUACCAUAUCAUUAUUAUUUGCUUUUAAAUAUAAAUCAGAAUUAACCAACUUAAAAUGGAAAAAUUUUAAAAGAAAAAAAAAGGAAAAAAAGAAAAAAAAAGAAAAAAAAAAAAAUCCCCCCCCCCAAUUUUUUGAACCCCCUUAUGAUUCAUCACCCCCAAACUCAAUCCCAGCCUUCCCUUUGUGGUAUGGUACCUUGCAGUAUAAUUUCAGAGAGAUCCAUACACUUGAACACAAGUUAUUGUCUGGAAACUAGAAAAAUGCUUAUUUUUGGCCCCUUUUUGGCCCCCAAUUCCUAAACGUUUUGGGCAAUUACCCCCAAACUCAAUUCCAGCUUUCCCUUUGUGAUAUGGAACCUUGUAGUACAAUUUCAGAAAUAUCCAAACACUUACACACAAGUUAUUGUCAUGAAACUAGAAAAAUGCUUGUUUUUUGCCCCUUUUUUGGCCCCUAAUUCCUAAAAUUUUGAGGCAAUUACCCCCAAAAUCAAUUACAGCCUUCUCUUUGUGAUAUGGAACCUUGUGGUACAAUGUCAGAGAGAUCCAUACACUUACACACAAGUUAUUGUCUGGAAGUUACAAAAAUGCUUAUUUUUGGCCCCUAAUUCCUUAACUGUUGGUACCAUAACCCCCAAAAUCAAUCCCCACAUUCCUUUUGUGGUAUUGAACCUUAUGGUAAAAUUUCAUGGAGAUCCAUUCACUUAAUCUAAAGUUAGAGUGCGAAAGCCAAUGUGUCUUCGGACGAAGCCGGACGACGCCAACGUCAUACCAAUAUACGACCAAAAAAUUUUUAAUUUUUGCGGUCGUAUAAAAAUGCUUGUUUUUUGGCCCCUUUUUGGCUCCAAAUUCCUCAAUGUUUAGGAAAAUUACCCCCAAACUCAAACCCAGCUUUCCCUUUGUGAUAUGGAACCUUGUAGUACAAUUCCAUAAAGAUCCAUACACUUACACACAAGUUACUGUCCUGAAACUAGAAAAAUGCUUGUUUUUUGCCCCUUUUUGGCCCCUAAUUCCUAAAAUUUUUAGGCAAUUACCCCCAAAA